rnacentral:rRNA from 1 species
GAUGAACGCUGGCGGCGUGCCUAAUACAUGCAAGUCGAGCGAACGGACGAGAAGCUUGCUUCUCUGAUGUUAGCGGCGGACGGGUGAGUAACACGUGGAUAACCUACCUAUAAGACUGGGAUAACUUCGGGAAACCGGAGCUAAUACCGGAUAAUAUUUUGAACCGCAUGGUUCAAAAGUGGAAGACGGUCUUGCUGUCACUUAUAGAUGGAUCCGCGCUGCAUUAGCUAGUUGGUAAGGUAACGGCUUACCAAGGCAACGAUGCAUAGCCGACCUGAGAGGGUGAUCGGCCACACUGGAACUGAGACACGGUCCAGACUCCUACGGGAGGCAGCAGUAGGGAAUCUUCCGCAAUGGGCGAAAGCCUGACGGAGCAACGCCGCGUGAGUGAUGAAGGUCUUCGGAUCGUAAAACUCUGUUAUUAGGGAAGAACAUAUGUGUAAGUAACUGUGCACAUCUUGACGGUACCUAAUCAGAAAGCCACGGCUAACUACGUGCCAGCAGCCGCGGUAAUACGUAGGUGGCAAGCGUUAUCCGGAAUUAUUGGGCGUAAAGCGCGCGUAGGCGGUUUUUUAAGUCUGAUGUGAAAGCCCACGGCUCAACCGUGGAGGGUCAUUGGAAACUGGAAAACUUGAGUGCAGAAGAGGAAAGUGGAAUUCCAUGUGUAGCGGUGAAAUGCGCAGAGAUAUGGAGGAACACCAGUGGCGAAGGCGACUUUCUGGUCUGUAACUGACGCUGAUGUGCGAAAGCGUGGGGAUCAAACAGGAUUAGAUACCCUGGUAGUCCACGCCGUAAACGAUGAGUGCUAAGUGUUAGGGGGUUUCCGCCCCUUAGUGCUGCAGCUAACGCAUUAAGCACUCCGCCUGGGGAGUACGACCGCAAGGUUGAAACUCAAAGGAAUUGACGGGGACCCGCACAAGCGGUGGAGCAUGUGGUUUAAUUCGAAGCAACGCGAAGAACCUUACCAAAUCUUGACAUCCUUUGACAACUCUAGAGAUAGAGCCUUCCCCUUCGGGGGACAAAGUGACAGGUGGUGCAUGGUUGUCGUCAGCUCGUGUCGUGAGAUGUUGGGUUAAGUCCCGCAACGAGCGCAACCCUUAAGCUUAGUUGCCAUCAUUAAGUUGGGCACUCUAAGUUGACUGCCGGUGACAAACCGGAGGAAGGUGGGGAUGACGUCAAAUCAUCAUGCCCCUUAUGAUUUGGGCUACACACGUGCUACAAUGGACAAUACAAAGGGCAGCGAAACCGCGAGGUCAAGCAAAUCCCAUAAAGUUGUUCUCAGUUCGGAUUGUAGUCUGCAACUCGACUACAUGAAGCUGGAAUCGCUAGUAAUCGUAGAUCAGCAUGCUACGGUGAAUACGUUCCCGGGUCU